UACAUGCAAGUCGAACGCUUCUUUCCUCCCGAGUGCUUGCACUCAACUGGAAAGAGGAGUGGCGGACGGGUGAGUAACACGUGGGUAACCUACCCAUCAGAGGGGGAUAACACUUGGAAACAGGUGCUAAUACCGCAUAACAGUUUAUGCCGCAUGGCAUAAGAGUGAAAGGCGCUUUCGGGUGUCGCUGAUGGAUGGACCCGCGGUGCAUUAGCUAGUUGGUGAGGUAACGGCUCACCAAGGCCACGAUGCAUAGCCGACCUGAGAGGGUGAUCGGCCACACUGGGACUGAGACACGGCCCAGACUCCUACGGGAGGCAGCAGUAGGGAAUCUUCGGCAAUGGACGAAAGUCUGACCGAGCAACGCCGCGUGAGUGAAGAAGGUUUUCGGAUCGUAAAACUCUGUUGUUAGAGAAGAACAAGGACGUUAGUAACUGAACGUCCCCUGACGGUAUCUAACCAGAAAGCCACGGCUAACUACGUGCCAGCAGCCGCGGUAAUACGUAGGUGGCAAGCGUUGUCCGGAUUUAUUGGGCGUAAAGCGAGCGCAGGCGGUUUCUUAAGUCUGAUGUGAAAGCCCCCGGCUCAACCGGGGAGGGUCAUUGGAAACUGGGAGACUUGAGUGCAGAAGAGGACAGUGGAACUCCAUGUGUAGCGGUGAAAUGCGUAGAUAUAUGGAGGAACACCAGUGGCGAAGGCGGCUCUCUGGUCUGUAACUGACGCUGAGGCUCGA
rnacentral:rRNA from 1 species